GAUGAACGCUGGCGGCGUGCUUAACACAUGCAAGUCGAGCGAAGCGCUUAAGUUUGAUUCUUCGGAUGAAGACUUUUGUGACUGAGCGGCGGACGGGUGAGUAACGCGUGGGUAACCUGCCUCAUACAGGGGGAUAACAGUUAGAAAUGACUGCUAAUACCGCAUAAGACCACGGUACCGCAUGGUACAGUGGUAAAAACUCCGGUGGUAUGAGAUGGACCCGCGUCUGAUUAGGUAGUUGGUGGGGUAACGGCCUACCAAGCCGACGAUCAGUAGCCGACCUGAGAGGGUGACCGGCCACAUUGGGACUGAGACACGGCCCAGACUCCUACGGGAGGCAGCAGUGGGGAAUAUUGCACAAUGGAGGAAACUCUGAUGCAGCGACGCCGCGUGAAGGAUGAAGUAUUUCGGUAUGUAAACUUCUAUCAGCAGGGAAGAA
rnacentral:rRNA from 1 species